AUUAGAAGUCAACACUCAGACCCUUAACUCCCACACACAAUCCAUUGCUAAGCUAGAGACCCAAAUAGGUCAACUAGCGACUGUAUUCAGUAGGAGGGAAGGAGGAAAAUUAUCUAGCCAACCGAGAGCAACCCAAGAGGGCAAUUUGUGAUUGAGAGCUCUAAUACCCCAGAAGCUUUUUCUGAAUAUGCCAAAUCAAUCAUGACUCUGAGAAGUGGGA
rnacentral:lncRNA from 1 species